rnacentral:rRNA from 2 species
UUAAGCGACUAAGCGUACACGGUGGAUGCCCUGGCAGUCAGAGGCGAUGAAGGACGUGCUAAUCUGCGAAAAGCGCCGGCGAGGUGAUAUGAACCCUUGACCCGGCGAUGUCCGAAUGGGGAAACCCAGUGCAAUCCGUUGCACUAUCGUUAACUGAAUACAUAGGUUAACGAGGCGAACCGGGGGAACUGAAACAUCUAAGUACCCCGAGGAAAAGAAAUCAACCGAGAUUCCCCCAGUAGCGGCGAGCGAACGGGGAGCAGCCCGGAGUCUGAAUCAGCUUGUGUGUUAGUGGAACGGUCUGGAAAGUCCGACGGUACAGGGUGAUAGUCCCGUACACGAAAGCACACAUGCUGUGAACUCGAAGAGUAGGGCGGGACACGUGGUAUCCUGUCUGAAUAUGGGGGGACCAUCCUCCAAGGCUAAAUACUCCUGACUGACCGAUAGUGAACCAGUACCGUGAGGGAAAGGCGAAAAGAACCCCGGCGAGGGGAGUGAAAAAGAACCUGAAACCGUGUACGUACAAGCAGUGGGAGCCUCUUUUAUGGGGUGACUGCGUACCUUUUGUAUAAUGGGUCAGCGACUUAUAUUCUGUAGCAAGGUUAACCGUAUAGGGGAGCCGAAGGGAAACCGAGUCUUAACUGGGCGUUAAGUUGCAGGGUAUAGACCCGAAACCCGGUGAUCUAGCCAUGGGCAGGUUGAAGGUUGGGUAACACUAACUGGAGGACCGAACCGACUAAUGUUGAAAAAUUAGCGGAUGACCUGUGGCUGGGGGUGAAAGGCCAAUCAAACCGGGAGAUAGCUGGUUCUCCCCGAAAGCUAUUUAGGUAGCGCCUCGUGAAUUCAUCUUCGGGGGUAGAGCACUGUUUCGGCUAGGGGGCCAUCCCGGCUUACCAACCCGAUGCAAACUACGAAUACCGAAGAAUGUUAUCACGGGAGACACACGGCGGGUGCUAACGUCCGUCGUGAAGAGGGAAACAACCCAGACCGCCAGCUAAGGUCCCAAAGUCAUGGUUAAGUGGGAAACGAUGUGGGAAGGCACAGACAGCCAGGAUGUUGGCUUAGAAGCAGCCAUCAUUUAAAGAAAGCGUAAUAGCUCACUGGUCGAGUCGGCCUGCGCGGAAGAUGUAACGGGGCUAAACCAUGCACCGAAGCUGCGGCAGCGACACUAUGUGUUGUUGGGUAGGGGAGCGUUCUGUAAGCCGUUGAAGGUGUGCUGUGAGGCAUGCUGGAGGUAUCAGAAGUGCGAAUGCUGACAUAAGUAACGAUAAAGCGGGUGAAAAGCCCGCUCGCCGGAAGACCAAGGGUUCCUGUCCAACGUUAAUCGGGGCAGGGUGAGUCGACCCCUAAGGCGAGGCCGAAAGGCGUAGUCGAUGGGAAACAGGUUAAUAUUCCUGUACUUGGUGUUACUGCGAAGGGGGGACGGAGAAGGCUAUGUCAGCCGGGCGACGGUUGUCCCGGUUUAAGCAUGUAGGCGGAGGUUCCAGGUAAAUCCGGUACCUUAUUAACGCUGAGGUGUGAUGACGAGGCACUACGGUGCUGAAGUGAUAAAUGCCCUGCUUCCAGGAAAAGCCUCUAAGCAUCAGGUAACACGAAAUCGUACCCCAAACCGACACAGGUGGUCAGGUAGAGAAUACCAAGGCGCUUGAGAGAACUCGGGUGAAGGAACUAGGCAAAAUGGUGCCGUAACUUCGGGAGAAGGCACGCUGAUGUGUAGGUGAAGCCCCUGCGGGUGGAGCUGAAAUCAGUCGAAGAUACCAGCUGGCUGCAACUGUUUAUUAAAAACACAGCACUGUGCAAACACGAAAGUGGACGUAUACGGUGUGACGCCUGCCCGGUGCCGGAAGGUUAAUUGAUGGGGUUAGCGGCAACGCGAAGCUCUUGAUCGAAGCCCCGGUAAACGGCGGCCGUAACUAUAACGGUCCUAAGGUAGCGAAAUUCCUUGUCGGGUAAGUUCCGACCUGCACGAAUGGCGUAAUGAUGGCCAGGCUGUCUCCACCCGAGACUCAGUGAAAUUGAACUCGCUGUGAAGAUGCAGUGUACCCGCGGCAAGACGGAAAGACCCCGUGAACCUUUACUAUAGCUUGACACUGAACACUGGUCCUUGAUGUGUAGGAUAGGUGGGAGGCUUUGAAGCGUGGACGCCAGUCUGCGUGGAGCCAACCUUGAAAUACCACCCUUUAAUGGCUGGUGUUCUAACGUGGACCCGUUACCCGGGUUGCGGACAGUGUCUGGUGGGUAGUUUGACUGGGGCGGUCUCCUCCCAAAGAGUAACGGAGGAGCACGAAGGUUGGCUAAUCCUGGUCGGACAUCAGGAGGUUAGUGCAAUGGCAUAAGCCAGCUUGACUGCGAGCGUGACGGCGCGAGCAGGUGCGAAAGCAGGUCAUAGUGAUCCGGUGGUUCUGAAUGGAAGGGCCAUCGCUCAACGGAUAAAAGGUACUCCGGGGAUAACAGGCUGAUACCGCCCAAGAGUUCAUAUCGACGGCGGUGUUUGGCACCUCGAUGUCGGCUCAUCACAUCCUGGGGCUGAAGUAGGUCCCAAGGGUAUGGCUGUUCGCCAUUUAAAGUGGUACGCGAGCUGGGUUUAGAACGUCGUGAGACAGUUCGGUCCCUAUCUGCCGUGGGCGCUGGAGAAUUGAGGGGGGCUGCUCCUAGUACGAGAGGACCGGAGUGGACGCAUCACUGGUGUUCGGGUUGUCAUGCCAAUGGCACUGCCCGGUAGCUAAAUGCGGAAGAGAUAAGUGCUGAAAGCAUCUAAGCACGAAACUUGCCCCGAGAUGAGUUCUCCCUGAGACUUUAAGUCUCCUGAAGGAACGUUGAAGACGACGACGUUGAUAGGUCGGGUGUGUAAGCGCAGCGAUGCGUUGAGCUAACCGAUACUAAUGAACCGUGAGGCUUAACCUU